UCAUAUUUAUAUUUCUAGGUUUUUUAAUGUUUUAGUAAACUGAAUCAAAUGAGGCACCUGUACAGCUGCUGUGAAAAACUUGGAGUCAAAGGGAAUCAUCCACACAUGCUGCUCUAUUUUCUAAUUACUAUAGAAAAGUAUUUGUAAGAGACCAUUUUAUUUGUUGGAGGGACAUGCCUCAUUAGAUAUGUUAAGAAUAUUCCAGAAUAUCCUAUGAAUCUAGAAUAAUCUCUC
rnacentral:lncRNA from 1 species